rnacentral:ncRNA from 1 species
GAGAGCCGGAUGCGAGGGAAACCCGCACGUCCGGUUUGGGAACCAGCUUGCAGGAGCUACCUGCUCCGCCAGAGCAGGGUGUGACUGUAAGUUGAGUUCAC